GCAUAAUUAACUACACCAGUCUCAAAAAACGUUGAUGGCCCAUCUCUCUGGGCAUCAUGCUGUGCCUGGCACGAGCUAGUAAUCCGUACCCGGUCCUGUCCCUCCCGAGUUUACAACCUUAAGUCACACGAUAAUGACAGAUCCCAAAUGCGGGCAGUUAACAAAUACAUCCACUUGUCUGUUGAUCACAAGAGAUCCAUUGAGGGAGCCACAGAGAUAAACAGGGCCCCCUUCAAAGAGCUUUCAGUCUAGUGGGUAAAUAGGUAAGACUGAGUGGGGAGUGGGGUGGGGGGAGAGGUUCAGGCGAGGAAACGCCUUCAACGUGGGCAUCGCAGGAUAGAAUUUUUUUUUAAGUGCCCAUUGGCCUGUGGUUGGGUUUUCUCUUGAGCCGCGUCUCCCGUCCCGACUGAGGUUUAAUUCCAGUGCUCCAGCGAGUGGGGUGGAUACAAAAGGCUAGAGGCAACAUCGCUCUACGCCGCGAGAAAUGGAAGAAAUUCAAGAGCAUCUGAUUACCCUUCUUCAUUCACUCAUGGGAGAGAUGUCUGGAGCAACACAAAGAGGCAAGUUGCAACUCCACAGCAGCACUCAGAAUCUGAGGCCGUUGACACCUCCACACCACGAACACACGCAGGAACUGUCAAUAUGGAGACAAGUAUUUUUAAAAAAGCACACCAGAAUGUGUGUGACCACACAAUGGAGGCCUACGCCUUUAUUCCAUGCCGUUUGGAGCACUCACCACGUGACUGCAACUCCCCUUCAAAGGAGCCAACACCCCUUUGGAUGCAUAAAGUCUAGAGGUUUGUGGAAAAGAGUAAAAGAGAAAACAAUGUUCAUUUAUAGUCACAGUGUAGUUAGGGAUGUGUAUUAAGACCUUGGGGAUAAUAUGAAACGAUGCAAUGGCAUAGAAGGUAUCGGUAUGGAGGGUUUGUCCAUAUCCAUUUUCCUUAUUUUUCUUUCAGAGGUGAGCACAAAUGAUAACAGAUUGUAGUAAAGCAAGCCUGACCUACACAGUCACUUAAUAAUCCCGGAGGGAAUGUGACCCAGAGCAGGGAGGGGCAGAGCUCAGGAAUGUGUUGCUGUGACUCAUUCCAGGACUCCCAGGGCUUCACCUACACCUGAGACGUUUGGGUGCUGUGGAGGUUUAUUUUUGUCCACUCCCCAAUUGGGAGGAUGACAGCCGGGGAGACUCCUAAGGGCCUCUGGUAUACACAGGCUUGGGAACCCAGAGGCCUGCUGGGCUGUCCUUCUCCUUUCCAUACCAAAUGAAUGCAAUACCAGCAGCCUCGAGGAUUUAAAGGGGAGAAUGGAGGUGAUGAUACUGAUCAUACAGUUCAUAAAAACUACACCGAUGAUUAUAAUCAGCAUGAGUGCUGGGGAACAAUAAAAGCUUUAUAAAGAUGUACUUUCUCCUACAAAUGAAUUAUAACACAUCUCUCAUAAGAGAAUUACCUAGUAAUUUUUUUAUCCUUUAAAAUUUUUGAUUGAAGGGUACCAUGAAUGUGUCAAAUGUAACUAUCAUUAGAUAGAAUUUUGCUUCAUAUCUUGUGGGACCCAAAUCCCAUAAAAGGAGAAAUAGUUCUUGACCAGGCAGUGGUCCUUCAACUAACACACACAAAAAAACUGCCUUGGGAAGAGCUUUGGCAGUCUCUUUUGUAUUCAUUGCAAAUACCUUCACCCCAGAGAAACUUUGUUCAAGCUUAGGAAAAUAGCUGACAAUCUGGGCACUUUCCCUGAUAGUGUGACAGGUAAGGAAAGACCACCUUACACCCUCUCUCAUAUUUCCCCUUAUAUUUGGAAGCCAAGAGCCACAGUAGCGGAAACAGACCCAGUAUCUUUUAAAGUCUGUUGUAGAAUAUUGAUUUCGCGGUUCUCAACUGUUUUCCCCACUCCAAUCUUAUGCUAAAGGAUGAGACUCACUCAGAUCAGUAGCAGUGGCUCAUUGUGGUAAUAACUGCCCUGUCAGAGAGGUGGCAGAAAGAUAGAAUCAAUGUGGUUGGUGGGUAGAGUUUCUGCUGCUCCCCUCUGAGCCCCACUCAGCGCCUCAUUAUCACAAGCUCUUCAAAUCUAAUAGUCAUUUAUAAGCUUUUGAAGCAAUCUUUACUUCAUCACCUACCUGAAAGAAUUUAUGUCCUGUCAGUAGAGUUUCAGCGUCAAUUUUUUGUUUACGAUACCGCAAAGUGAUUCUAUCCUCUUGGGGACAGUUAUCUCUUUCAAGUUCCUUUUUAUAUGUUUGUUUUGUCCCUAAAGCCACAGAUGCAGGCCAGGGUGACUGGGACAAAGGUGGGAUCCCUACCUCGUGAAUAUGACUUGGGAGGCAGAACUUAUUUUUACGCGGGUACAGAGUAAAAUCCCAAGUCGCGAUUGAUUUCAUGUAAGUACGGCUGGAGAGGCCCAAGGAGGAUCCAGUUUGGGGUGAGCACCGGGAUCUGUGAGCCAGGGUUCCUUCAGCGUCUCAUGGUACGUGUGUGCGGGGGGAGGCAGGUCCCCCGUUCCUCCUAGUCCCAUUGACACUACGCUUCAUCCCGGUCCCUGCGGAACUAUAUUAAUAGAAAGCGACACUUCACACAUCGGUGCUCAGACCCCAAAGGGAGGCUGGCAAAGGCUUGGCAGGUGGGCACGAAGUCGGGAGAUGGGUGGGGGAAUGGGGCGGAGGCGUCGUCGAGUGGCGUUCUGCGCAGCCAAUGGUAGUUCGGGGCAGGGGUGGCAGGGGCGGAGGCGCCGAGGCGGAUCAGCCAAUAGAGGGCUAGCAACUACUGGAACGACCUGGUGACGUGAGGAGCGUUCCAUUUGGCCAGCGGUGGGCGGUUGCCACAGCUGGUUUAGGGCCCCGACGACUGGGGCCCCUUGUCAGGAGGAGGCAGCCUCCGGGCUGGGGAGAAGCCGCUGCCAUCUC
rnacentral:lncRNA from 1 species